GAUGAACGCUGGCGGCGUGCCUAAUACAUGCAAGUCGAGCGAACAGACGAGGAUCUUGCUCCUCUGACGUUAGCGGCUGACGGGUGAGUAACACGUGGAUAACCUACCUAUAAGACUGGGAUAACUUCGGGAAACCGGAGCUAAUACCGGAUAAUAUAUUAAACCGUAUGGUUCAAUAGUGAAAUACGGUUUUGCUAUCACUUAUAGAUGGAUCCGCGCCGCAUUCGCUAGUUGGUAAGGUAACGGCUUACCAAGGCAACGAUGCGUAGCCGACCUGAGAGGGUGAUCGGCCACACUGGAACUGAGACACGGUCCAGACUCCGACGGGAGGCAGCAGUAGGGAAUCUUCCGGAAUGGGCGAAAGGCUGACGGAGCAACGCCGCGUGAGUGAUGAAGGUCUUCGGAUCGUAAAACUCUGUUAUUAGGGAAGAACAAAUGUGUAAGUAACUAGGCACGUCUUGACGGUACCUAAUUAGAAAGCCACGGCUAACUACGUG
rnacentral:rRNA from 1 species